UAUAACCUUGCAAUAGAUGUCUUUUUUCUUUGUUGUCGUGUCUGAAAUCUUUGGUGUUGCUUGAUUGACUGAAGAGGGUAACUGAAACUCUGGCUAGACGUGGAUAGCACACUGAUCUGUUAGCAUGUGUCAUAUUGUCAUUGUCUAACACUAAAAACUCUGUUUCAUUUGACAGACUGUGUUCUGGCAACAAACAGAAAAUGUGGAAAAAGUAUGUAUUUGGACUGGAUUGGAUAUUUGUGGCUAUGGAUAACUGUUACAUAAUGAGUAUUGUACCUUCCGGACCUGUGUUUUAUAGUUGUUCCAAUGACCUUCCGUAUGCACUUAUUGUACAUUGCUUUGGAUAAAAGCAUUUGCCAAAUAAAUGUAAUGUAAUUUAUUAUCAAUUGCAGACAGCCCCAUUUAACCCAUAAAUUGCAAGGACAGCAGUGGUUGGAUCCCCUGUUUGUUGCAACUGAACAUGCAACACAAGUUCAUAUGUGGAUGCAUCUACAGCACUGAUGAGCCUGAUUGUUUUGCCUUCCACAACAGGUUGUGUGCAAUGCAAUAUUUAUUUUUAUAACUGAGGUCAGGGUUCAGAGGAUCAGUCUCCCGUUUGUUUCUCGCCUCUUGUCCUCCCCCCGCCCAUGGAAUGUAGACAGUUAAAAUAUUCCACAAUGUGUGUUUUUUGAGUCACCGGGCUAAAGCGAUCUGAAGUGCCUGGCUAAACGCUGGAAUCUCCAGAACACUGUGUGAUUUCUGGCGCUUGUUCUGUAAUAACAGUGACAGGAGGUGAUACAUGCCACGUGUGUAGUGUCAUUUAGGGAAAAAAAGCAAAGAGAGCAGAGCCAUUCCUCCAGGUAUUGAAAAAAUCAUAUGGAAGCCGUGUGUUUCAUCAGUAGUUUUGGACAGAUACAUAAACACACAUGCACACACACAAACACACACCCAUAUGCACAUACACACGCACAUACACAAACACAUGCACACACACACACAAACACACACACAAGCACAUGCACACACACACACACACACACACACACACACACACACACACAUAUGCACAUACACACACAUACACAAACACAUACACGCACAUGCACAUACACACAUGCACACAAAAACAUACGUGCACACACACAUGGCCCAGCCCUGUAGCCUACCUCUAGACCAGUGGCUCUCAACCUCAGUCCUGGGGACCCGCUGUGUAUGCUGUCAAAAUUUUCAAUUACAGUUUUUUACGAUUGCUUACACAGUAAAAUUAAAAAUAACACACAGUUAGUGAAACCUGACGCUCAAGGAGCUAAACCUCAGCCUAGAUCUGCACAACUAUAAGCACAUUCUCAGCCUCACACUUUUUGCUAAACACGACACACAGUACACUACACACAGUACGCUCUAUAAAUAGACAACAGGUGAGUUUACCUGUCUUCAACAAAAAUAGAAGGCAACGUUGCAGUAAGAGGAAGGGGGAGAGGGGGAGCCUGCGGAGGAAGAGGGGUAGGGAGAGGAAGAGGAAGAAGUAGAGGUAGACCUGGAGGAGGACGUGGACAAAGAAGACGAGGACCAAAUUUAUCAGAUGAGAUUCGAGCAACAUUGGUUGACCAUGUUGUAAACCAUGGUUUGACAUUGAGAGAGGCUGGACAGAGAGUUCAGCCCAACCUCAGCAGAUGUACUGUUGCAACAGUAAUUUGGACAUUUCGACAAGAGCACAGGUGAAAAACAACUUUUCUCUACUGUCUACAGUAAUAUCAGUACAAUGUAACCUACUAUAUGCACUACAUCAGUACCCAUUCACUGCAUUCCAUGUUUGAAACAAUGCCUUGUACGCUGUCCUGUGACAUUUUCCAUGUAUUUUGAUUGGUCUACAUAGGAUUGAGGGUCAAGAACGUCAAGGAGGAAGGGGCUCCAUAUUCUCAGAGGAACAAGAGAGAGCUAUCGUAAAUGUGGUUUUGGCCAAUAAUGCGAUAUGCCUCAGAGAAAUUCAAACAAACAUCCUCCAGGACCACACAGUUUUCAAUAAUAUCCAUCAGGUCUUUCUACCAACACUGGGGUGAAUCCUUAAAAAACAUCACAUAGAGAUGAAACAACUCUACCGAGUGCCAUUUGAAAGAAAUUCUGAGAAAGUAAAAGGCCUGCGGCAUGAAUAUGUGGAGAGAGUUUUGCAAAUGGAUGCUGAUGCAAUCCCACAUGGAUUUAUCCUCAUAGAUGAGGCUGGGUUUAACCUGACAAAAGUAAGAAGAAGAGGGAGAAACAUCAUUGGCCACCGAGCUAUUUUGAAUGUCCCGAGCCAACGUGGUAACAUCACAAUGCGCUGCAAUCAUGCAGAAUGGGUCCUCCACCACCAUGCCAACUUAGGUCCUUACAACACGGCCCACAUACUCACAUUUUUAGACAGACUACACAACAUCGUCACAGCAGAAGACCAAAUGGAUGCAGAGCAGAUGAGAUACAUUGCCAUCUGGGACAAUUUAUCUUUCCACCGAUCUGCUCUGGUCCAAAACUGGUUUCAUCAGCAUCCACAAUUUUCACUCCAGUACUCUCCACCAUACUCUCCCUUCCUUAACCCCAUUGAGAUGUUUUUUUUGGCAUGGCAGUGGAAGGAUUACGAUCUCCAGCCCUAUGUCAGGAUACCCCACAUUCAAGCCAUGGAGUGGGCCUGCGACCAAAUUGAUGCAGGGUCUGUGCCAUUCAAGAAGAUUUUUUUUUUCAUUCAUGCUUUCUUUUUUGUCUCCACAAAUGUUUUUGCUGUGUUUAUGUACUAUAUUCUAUUUAGAAUAUGUUCUGUUCUGAUUUUCAGUGCAAAAUGCAACCUUUGGAAAUGCAUGGAUGUAUUGACUGAUUUUACAAUGUGGAGAGAAAUAAAUAUUUUCAUCAGUGUGCA